rnacentral:rRNA from 1 species
CCGGAGUUUUCAGAGUGCGACGUUAUCGGAUUUACUGGGCGUAAGCGUGCGUAGGCGGCUUAUUAAGUCGGAUGUGAAAUCCCCGAGCUUAACUUGGGAAUUGCAUUCGAUACUGGUGAGCUAGAGUAUGGGAGAGGAUGGUAGAAUUCCAGGUGUAGCGGUGAAAUGCGUAGAGAUCUGGAGGAAUACCGAUGGCGAAGGCAGCCAUCUGGCCUAAUACUGACGCUGAGGUACGAAAGCAUGGGGAGCAAACAGGAUUAGAUACCCUGGUAGUCCAUGCCGUAAACGAUGUCUACUAGCCGUUGGGGCCUUUGAGGCUUUAGUGGCGCAGCUAACGCGAUAAGUAGACCGCCUGGGGAGUACGGUCGCAAGACUAAAACUCAAGGGAAUUGACGGCGAG